rnacentral:misc_RNA from 1 species
AACCUUAUGGACCUGCGGGCGUAUACCUGCGGAGGGAUCAUUACUGAGUUUUACCAAACUCCCAACCCCUAUGUGAACCAUACCUUUCCACUGUUGCUUCGGCGGGACACGCCCCGGGUGCUGCGCGCCCCGGAACCAGGCGCCCGCCGGGGACCAUUUACAAACUCUUGUUUCUUAUACUGUAUCUUCUGAGCAAAACCGCCGAAAGGCGAAACAAAACAAUCAAAACUUUCAACAACG